UACAGCAGCCUCAGGUUGGGGUGAGUGGAAGUCAUAACACCACAGAAAUGUCACAGCCAAGGGAGGGACCUGUGGGCUCUUCUCCUUUCACUAUUGGCCAUUGCUAAACUGUGGAGCUUCUAAAUUCACACACGCCACCAGACACUGGGAACGUCCUGAUGGGCAUAGAAGAGGAGUACAAAAACACUCAGAUGUGGCCCUGGCCUGAGCUGUCCCCCGCUGCUCUUCUCUCUGUGUCUCAGUCAAGCCAAGCAGACCUCAGCAGGGGAGCGAGAAGCUGAGAGAAAUCUCCUUAAUGAGUUGAUCACAAGAAUGGAUGCUUUGGUGUCAAUAUUAUGCCCACUAGAAGUUCUAGAGGAACUCAAGAGAAGCUAAAUUCCUUGAUAAAGCUGGGCAUCAUGGGAAGAAAGGACACUCUCUGAGAGACAAGAUGAGAAGGUCUGCCAACAAGUUUCUCCCGUGAUUGGCGGGAGACCCUGACUCCCUGAUGAAAAGAAGUGAGGGAGAGCCCAGCCUUGGAAGAAGAGAGUGAGGCACAGUGAUCCCAGAUCUGUUUAUUUUUAAGGAAACAAGACAAAAUAAAACAAAACCCCUGAAAGAAUCUAUGUGCCUGCCACCCAAAAUGAACAAAUGCUUACAUUUUUAAAUUUACUUCAGAUCUUUUUAAAAAAGAAACAAAACAUUACAGAGUUAAAAUACCCUAUGUCCUCACACCAGAGACCUGCUCCCUUUCCUUCCUUCCCAAAGUCACCACUGUGAUGAAUUCUACGUGUUCCCAGUCCUUCUGUUUACAACUUCACUGUACAUCCAUGUAUUGAUAAACAGUAUAUAACAAUG